UACCUGUGUGUCCUUUAACUCUGUAUAGUC
rnacentral:sRNA from 1 species